GAGACGAUCGUUCGCAGUGUUUCUUGGAGUAGCGCAAGCUUUCAAGAAGAGCAGUAACUUGGAGUGAAAAUAAGAUUUAAAAAAUUAAUUAAAAAAAAUCAUUAAAAAAGUUUUAAAAUAAACCAGAAUUCCUCCUUUGGUGCAACAGAAACAAACAUCCAAUAUUUUUCACAAGUUCUGAAAUCAGUACAGUCCGGCGUUGAGGUUUAUGAUGAAAACUUUGAAAAGCAAAAAAAGGAUCUCCAUUAAUCUUCAGAGGCGCACCGAUUCACUUCGGAGGCUGACACUCUUCUGACACCCCUGUUGGCUUUCGGACAUUAGUUGAUCUGGACGCACCGGGGUGAGUCACUUUAAUUGUCCGCGGCGCAUUCUUCCUCCUCCACCGCCGUUCAAAAUAUCGGCAUUCCUUUUAAAAAGCGUUCCUUCUUAUUGGCUUCGGUCCUGCUGCGAGUGCGACGUGAUGAAAUAUUUCAAUAGCGCCGAAUAAUCCCCCCUGCCUUUACGCACUCCGGACAUGCACUCUGAUGCGCACACACUCACUUUAUUCCUCCUUUUUCUGCCGCGCGCGCACACACUUUUUCAGAGGAAUACGUGUGCAGAGAAAGGAGUCCGGAGAGAGGAAGAGAGAAAGAGGUGGUAAGGUCCCAGCUCCGUGAUUUUCCUAGCGCCUCUGUGGCCCAUAGGGCUUCAUAGUGUAUGGGAUGUGUUGCGUGUUACGAGGAGCAGCGCUCCGUUUGAUUGGCUCUUUCACGCUUUCGGACCAAUUGUGUGGCGCUGUGGGCGUGGUUUUGACAGGUCGGGCGGAGGGGACAGACUUCAGACUUAUAAAAAGAUCCCGGCGGAGCUGCCUUGGAGAAGGAUCCCGGUAUCACGUGUCAGUUGGAUGACAAAGGGACAAAGAAGCAGCUGUGAAGCGCCUGGAAGGUCGCCCGGUGCUUCGCCCCUCACCUGUGUCACCUCUGCCCGUUAGGGCCAUCAAGGUGCGUCAUCCGUCUACUUUGGCACCUUUUCACCUGUGGCACUGCACAGUUUCUCACUGGUUUACAUGCCUUUACCCUCACCCACCCAUUUCCCCUCUCAUACCUUAGGGCCUCUGUCACUCACCUGUCAUUUUUUUCAUCAACUCCUUGUUUCCUCCUGUUUUUCCUCAACAGUCUCUGUGAAGGUGGGAAGGUAAUCAUUGGAGCGUAAAUGGUGACCAUUAUAUCCUGACCGACCCAGCUGCUGAGGAUGAUGCAUCCCAGAGUUGAUGACUGACAGCCCCCUUUCUCUAAAGCCGGUGUACCCUUUUGGAAACGCUCAAAAUCUACAAGUUUAUCAUUUAACACAUUGUAAAAAAAAAAACAUGUUUUUUAACAGACUGUACAUUACACGAUACAAUGUCUGAGUAAAAUUAUAAAUGUAAACACCAGAAUGUAAAGUUUAAAAUUUCUGUUUCUUACACAUUUUUCCAGAAUUAACAAGUGUUAAUGUUAAAGUUACUUAAUAAGGGAACCCUUAAAAAGGGCCUAGAUCCUCCAAUACUUCUUAAUAUUAAGCUGUAUGUCUAUUUCAUAAUGUUAUGUCUAAUAAAAAAGAACAUGAAUCAUGUUUAAGCUGUAAGAUUUUGACAUUUUUCACACCUGAAAACGUAAAUCUAUAAAACAUUAUUUCAUCUGCUUAUUUUAUUGUUUUGAUAUGAAUACAGUUACACAUUUUUACUUCAUUUCAGCUUAAAACGUACUGCUUCAAGAGUGUCAUACAACCUCUAUAGGUCCACACAUGUACAGUUUGAUAACUUGCUGCCCUGCAAUGGUCCAAAGAGGGAAAAAAUGACCCAAAAUAAAGGAGAGGACCUUUGAAUCCUUGAUUGGUUGACAUGAUGCAUCUUCUUUACCAAAGUUCAGAUUUCUAGCUCUCAGCGUGCUGCCAUACCCAAAUUGUGAACCUGCCAGACUGAGGUGCCACGCCUGACGCCCAUAUUGCUCCACUGGACCUUUGACUAUGCCCGUACAUUGACUUAACAUUAAAACUGGACGCCCUUGAUGCACUAAUCUUUAGAAUGCAAAGAUGUAAAUACUUUUCAUU
rnacentral:lncRNA from 1 species